rnacentral:lncRNA from 1 species
UCAGACACCCGUUGGGUUUGUAGAUAUGCAGCCGUUAAUGCUGUAUGUCGCAAAUACGACUCUCUCAUUCUCACAGUAGAAGAGGUAGCUGAUUCAUCAGUCAAUGAAUACUCAUGGGCCAUUGAAGCACGUGGGUUACUUCAUCAGAUUAAAUCUUUCUCCUUUCUUCUCCCUCCAAUUAUGUUUGACAGAGUACUUACAGCAACGAAACGGUUGUCUGAUAAUCUAGAGAGUAGCAACAUCAAUCUGCCUUGUGCUACUUAGCUUGUGGUAGCUACUAAAAGUGUACAUAUGGACUAUCGGUCUGAUACAUACUAGGAUAAGGUUUAUAACGAUGCUACUCGAUUAGCUGAGAACCAUGAUAUCUCAAGUCAAGUACCCACAAGACGUAGGACAGUUACACCAGCUAGACUAUAUGAUAGCAAUGUAUAUGAGACACUAGGCCAAGAACAAACUAGGAACUCACUGCCAAAGCAAGAGUUUAAAACUCAGUUUUACAAUCCAGUCCUAGAAAAAGUUUCUGUGUGAGUUAAUGAGAUUUGAAGUCCACAAUAAUAUCGACGUUCAGAAAGGAAUAGCAGCUUGCACUCCAAAAUUGUCCAAUUUUCUCUCCAUUGAUGAUCUCACUUCUUUCACUGAGAUGCAUGGAGUACGGCCAGGAAAUGAUCUGAAGACUGAAGUAGAACUGGUGAAGAGACUCUCUGAAACAUCCUCAAUGGACAUUUUAGCUUCCUUCAGAUGUUACCGCUUAUCAUUUAAACCAGCAUAUAGCACACUCUCUAAGCUGGCACAAAUUGCCAUGAAAAUAGCAGUCACCAGUUCUGAAAGUGAACACUCUUUUUCAGCUUUGAAGAGGAUCAAACUUGUCUGAGAAGUACUAUGGGCCAGGAACGUCUGUCAGCAUUAGCUAUCUUGUCUAUUGAAGGAGAAAUAGGUCAAGAGCUACAUCAUGAAGCCAUCAUUGAUCAGUUUGCCUCAUCUGUUAAGAAUAGGCGCAUUGUCCUCUCUUAGUAAAAAAUUGUCACAACAGUGACCAAAACCUAAUCUCCUUUAUCCAUAACCACACCUUAAUUGCUUUAUAACCACUCCUUCAUUGCAAAGGAACCACACCUUUUCAUUCAUGAGCAUAUUUAUUAAUUAAAACCACAUCUUUAAUUAUUGUGCCCCCCAGAAAAAGAAUCCUAGAUCUGCCACUACCUGUAGGUAGUGAAGAAGACAUGGAGUGGAUGACACCUUCUCCACCAACACCAUCUCCACCAUCAUCACCUCAUCAAUAGGAAGGAGCAAAGAAUAAUAGAUCAAAGAAAUGGAUCACAACUUCAGUGUAACUUUAAAAAAAUACGUGUAAUAAUUAUAAUUUUAGCAAUUAAUUAAUCAAGAUACAUAUGCAUAUAUUCACUCUUCCAUCUUGUGUAUCAAUGAAUAAUGCUUUUUUUGUAGUCAUUAGUGGCUUAGUAUUUACUGUAUAUAUGUAUAUUAUCUGUAUGUAUCCAUUAUUUUUAGUUUAACAUGACCAUCAGCUUAAAGUUGUCAUCACAAGACAACUUUGGAAACAAGUUUAAAAGCUGGUACUAGAGGUUUAAGGCUGUUCAGUGUUGCAAGUGAGGUUAAGAAGAUAAGAUCAGAAGAGACAAAGACUCAAGAAGAAGACAAGAAAGAAGACCCACAGCCACUGCAAGUGAGCUAGGUUGGCUGAUUACUGAUUGCCAUACACACUUUGGGUGGUAGCUAUUCAGUUUGGAGCUGACUCUGCUUGGUGUUGAGAUGAAGAAGAACACAGUCCUACAUUCCUGUUCAAUGUUGCAAGUUAAGUGAGCCUUACUUCAUGGCUUGAUGGGCCAACACGCUGUGGGUGGUGUCUAUUUAGUUGCAUUGUGGAUGCUGCUUUGCUGGUAGCCUUGUUCAGUUCUGUGGAGCUAUAGUUGUCCCAGGCCUUGGGCACUAUAGAGACAGACAUGUAGAGCUGUUCAGCACUACAGAGCUAGUUGCCCUACGGACUUGGGGGACUAGAUAAAGACUCGUACCUCUAGUACCAGCAAAAUCUUAUUUGCCCUUUUAAAGGCGGGUGGUGGUGUGGGGGCCAGCUAAGCAGUGGCACCUAUUCGUGAUGGUGCUGCCAUCACACUGUAUAUCAGUGUGCAAGACCACUGCACUUGCAUAAACAUUAACCUGUAUAAAUUAUGAUCAUGUCAUCAUUUUAUUUUUAUAUUGUUCUCACUUUUAAAUUCCACAAA